GAUGAACGCUGGCGGCGUGCUUAACACAUGCAAGUCGAACGAUGAAGCCCAGCUUGCUGGGUGGAUUAGUGGCGAACGGGUGAGUAACACGUGAGUAACCUGCCCUUGACUCUGGGAUAAGCCCGGGAAACUGGGUCUAAUACCGGAUAGGAGCGCCUGUCGCAUGACGGGUGUUGGAAAGAUUUUUCGGUCAUGGAUGGACUCGCGGCCUAUCAGCUUGUUGGUGAGGUAAUGGCUCACCAAGGCGACGACGGGUAGCCGGCCUGAGAGGGUGACCGGCCACACUGGGACUGAGACACGGCCCAGACUCCUACGGGAGGCAGCAGUGGGGAAUAUUGCACAAUGGGCGGAAGCCUGAUGCAGCGACGCCGCGUGAGGGAUGACGGUCUUCGGGUUGUAAACCUCUUUCAGUAGGGAAGAAGCGAAAGUGACGGUACCUGCAGAAGAAGCACCGGCUAACUACGUG
rnacentral:rRNA from 1 species